rnacentral:rRNA from 2 species
UAGAAUUCCACGUGUAGCAGUGAAAUGCGUGGAGAUGUGGAGGAAUACCGAUGGCGAAGGCAACCUCCUGGGAUAACACUGACGUUCAUGCUCGAAAGCUUGGGUAGCAAACAGGAUUAGAUACCCUGGUAGUCCACGCCCUAAACGAUGACAAUUAGCUGUUGGGAAACUAGAUGUCUUAGUAGCGAAGCUAACGCGUGAAAUUGUCCGCCUGGGGAGUACGGUCGCAAGAUUAAAACUCAAAGGAAUUGACGGGGACCCGCACAAGCGGUGGAUGAUGUGGAUUAAUUCGAUGCAACGCGAAGAACCUUACCUGGUCUUGACAUGUACGGAAUCUCUUAGAGAUAGGAGAGUGCCUUCAGGAACCGUAACACAGGUGCUGCAUGGCUGUCGUCAGCUCGUGUCGUGAGAUUGGGUUAAGUCCCGCAACGAGCGCAACCCUUGUCAUUAGUUGCCAUCAUUAAGUUGGGCACUCUAAUGAGACUGCCGGUGAUAUACCGGAGGAAGGUGGGGAUGACGUCAAGUCCUCAUGGCCCUUAUGACCAGGGCUUCACACGUCAUACAAUGGUCGGUACAGAGGGUAGCGAAGCCGCGAGGUGAAGCCAAUCUCAGAAAGCCGAUCGUAGUCCGGAUUGCACUCUGCAACUCGAGUGCAUGAAGUCGGAAUCGCUAGUAAUCGCAGGUCAGCAUAC